rnacentral:lncRNA from 1 species
GAGGAACCUGAGCCUAGUGAUCUGAACUCCAAGAAACACUUUUCUUUGUAAGUAAAAUCAGUUACUAUUUUUGGUUAGCUUAAAACCAACCUUUUCAACCAAAGAUUAUGUUUUCUUUUAAAGCUAACCUUGAAAUGAAAAGGCACCAAUUCAGCUUUGAAUUAAUAUCAUUUGCAAAGUGAAAACCCAUCCCAGUGAACGAUCCUAGAGCCACUAUGCUAUAGUAGCUUUGUCUUUG